AUUUCUUCUUUAAUAUCUUAAUAAAUUCAACAAUGAUUCAUAGGUCUUACACCAAAUUCAAUAAGACUUUCAACCUAAAAUAAAAGUAUAAGGAUUCUGCUUCUGAUCACUCUUCCAUUCAUAUCUUGUAUCAUCUUAAUUCCUCAACAUCUGUAAAAACAGUAAAAUAGAAGGUAAUGAGCUAGACAGCCCAGUAAGCAAUGAUCACUUCUCAACAGAUUUCAUCAGGCAUUUAAGUAAAUAAUCAUUUAUAGAAAAUAAGCAUAUAGAGUUCAUCAAUUCG
rnacentral:lncRNA from 1 species